UAAACAAAAAUCAACCAUGAGUACUCAUAGUACUGUAGAUUGGAUGAUUAGCACAUUGUCGAGUAGUGGAUUCACAAGCAUUUCUACCAACAUUUGUCGAAAGCAUCGAUGUAACAUGAGGUGAAUAGUUGAAUGGUGUAAACUUAAAGUUGAGCAGCAAACAUAGGAGUUAUGUUGUACCUUUUUGUAGAGACUUUCUUCAGAUGUGAUAACAGUUGGGCAGAAUGAUGUACAGCCAUGUUGAAGCAGACCUUUAGCAACCUUCAUA